UUAGGAAUCUUGGACAAUGGGCGAAAGCCUGAUCCAGCCAUGCCGCGUGAGUGAUGAAGGCCUUAGGGUUGUAAAGCUCUUUCAGCGGGGAAGAUAAUGACGGUACCCGCAGAAGAAGCCCUGGCUAACUUCGUGCCAGCAGCCGCGGUAAUACGAAGGGGGCUAGCGUUGCUCGGAAUCACUGGGCGUAACGCGCACGUAGGCGGGUUCUUAAGUCAGGGGUGAAAUCCUGGAGCUCAACUCCAGAACUGCCUUCGAUACUGGGAAUCUCGAGUCCGGGAGAGGUGAGUGGAACUGCGAGUGUAGAGGUGAAAUUCGUAGAUAUUCGCAAGAACACCAGUGGCGAAGGCGGCUCACUGGCCCGGUACUGACGCUGAGGUGCGAAAGCGUGGGGAGCAAAC
rnacentral:rRNA from 1 species